rnacentral:ncRNA from 1 species
CCCCUAUUGACGGAUUGAACGGCAUCCAGUACAAAAACUGGAUAGGGG